AAGGUCGGAUACAACCCUG
rnacentral:snRNA from 1 species